GACGAACCCUGGCGGCGUGCUUAACACAUGCAAGUCGAGCGGAAAGGCCCUUCGGGGUACUCGAGCGGCGAACGGGUGAGUAACACGUGAGUAACCUGCCCUAGGCUUUGGGAUAACCCCGGGAAACCGGGGCUAAUACCGGAUAUGACCUGGUGCCGCAUGGUGUUGGGUGGAAAGUUUUUUCGGCCUGGGAUGGGCUCGCGGCCUAUCAGCUUGUUGGUGGGGUGAUGGCCUACCAAGGCGAUGACGGGUAGCCGGCCUGAGAGGGCGACCGGCCACACUGGGACUGAGACACGGCCCAGACUCCUACGGGAGGCAGCAGUGGGGAAUAUUGCACAAUGGGCGGAAGCCUGAUGCAGCGACGCCGUGUGAGGGAUGAAGGCCUUCGGGUUGUAAACCUCUUUCAGCAGGGACGAAGCGUGAGUGACGGUACCUGCAGAAGAAGCGCCGGCCAACUACGUG
rnacentral:rRNA from 1 species